rnacentral:rRNA from 1 species
UACCAGCACCCCGAGUGGUCGGGACGAUUAUUGGGCCUAAAGCAUCCGUAGCCGGUUUUACAAGUCCCCCGUUUAAAUCCAACUGCUUAACAGAUGGGCCGCGGAGGAUACUAUAAGACUAGGAGGCAGGAGAGGCAAGCGGUACUCAGUGGGUAGGGGUAAAAUCCGUUGAUCCAUUGAAGACCACCAGUGGCGAAGGCGGCUUGCCAGAAAUGCGCUCGACGGUGAGGGAUGAAAGCUGGGGGAGCAAACCGG